UCGUCUCUCUCUCCCAAGACUGUCGCGCCGCCCCAUAGCCGCCGCCGAAAAUCGCCCACCGGCGGCGGCCGACCUCCAAUCCGCACCAAAAUUUAACCAUGUAAUCUACAUCACCUCCUCUUUCCAUAUCUCCAAACCAUAUCCUUCAAAAAACUCUCAAACACCUUGAAUCUUAGAUCUAAGAAAUUUUCCCGUCACUUUUCGCCCAAGUUAUUGAUGUUCCGGCUAUUACCACCCCACAAUACAUACAUCAAUAGAUAGAGCUCCUCAAGACCUAGCUAUUGAUGUCAAUUCUACCUCAAAAAUCCUGCGACCUCUCCGAACAUCAUUUUUGGCAUACCACCAUUAUUUCGGCCAUUUGAAUUGUAAAAUGGUAAAAUACUAUUCUUUUUCAUGGCUGAUUUUUAUUUUUUAUUUAUUAUUUUCAGAUUUUUAUUUUUAUUAUUAAUUAUUUAGCAUUAGUUUUUGAAGUUUGAAAUGUUAAAAUUUCUAUUUUUGCACUUGUUGAAAUAGUAAAAUAGUUUUGUACUAAUAAAAGUGAAGUAGUGAAAAAUACUUGAGAGUAUAUGGUAUUUGUUUGUUUAUUUAUUUACUACUUCAAUACUUUUUGAGUACAAAAUUCAAAAGUGAUUUGUUGGGUAAGAAAUAUAGACUUUUGGAACAAUUUUUGAACAAAAGUCUAUCCUUGAACAAUAAACUGCAGAUUUUUGUUUGAAAUACUCUCUUUUUGACAAGAUUUGGUUAAGAAGUCUUGCUCUUUGAAUUUAAUAGCAGACUUUGUAGAAAAUCUGUCAAAAAGAUUAUUUUUUGAAUUUUUGAAAUACCUGUUUGUUGUGAUAUAUAUAGACGGAAUCACACUUCCAAAAGGCACAGGGGAGAAUUGCAAAAACACCCCAAAAAAAAAAAGAAAGAGAGGGAAAAAUAAGAGGAGAAGAAAAAAGAACGGAGAGGAUAGAUCAGUAUACACUUGAUAUACACUCUGGAUACACUCAGUAUACUCAAAAAUAUACACUUGAUUUAUACUCUGGAUGCACCUAGUAUACAUGGACAUAAUUUAGUUUUGGAGAGUUUAUUUUGAGAGUUGAAGAGAUUUAAAGGCUAGAAAGAGAAAACAAAGAGAGAUUUACAGAAUAUUUUUCUGCUCUAUUUUUUUUACAGGUUUUCUCCUUAUUGCUGGGAUUUUUGGAUUGAGGUGUUGAAAGUACUAUGCCGGUUGUUACUGUUGCUGUUAUUGUUUGCUACUGCUCUGUUGAUUCUCGUUUCCUCUUCUUUUUCUUUUAAUACCAGGUACACUUUCGAAUUACUGCGAUGUAGCUGUAAGAUGUACAAGUGAAAUGAAAUGUUAGGAAAUUGAUGAAUCGUGUGCUAUAUCUGUAGUUUAAUAGAUUAUGUGAUAAGUAGUUGUAUAGUCUAUUUCCCUUACACAACAAAGAUGCUUUGAGCAGUACUUAGCUGAAACUUCAUUUGUUUAAAAAUUAUAAUCUGUUAUUGUCAGUUGUGUAUGUGAUGUACAGAGUUAUGUAGUUUGUAGAAUGAACAAUAGUUUAGUUGUUUAGAUCUCAUCUCUAAUUGGUUUUGGUAUUUAAGGCAGACUUUAAAUAGACCGGUGUUUAAUUCCAUUAGUCUCAAUCACCUAAAAAUGUUAGUUUAAAUCAACUUGGAGAAUUGUUAGUUUGUUUUUUUAGCAUUUUGUAAAUCUCGUAUGCAUAUUAUAAUUUCAGCUUUAGUAGUUCGUUUAUUGGAUAAAGCAUUUUGUAAAUCUCGUAUGCAUAUUACAAUUUCAGCUUUAGUAGUUCGUUUAUAGAAUAAGGCACGAAAUAAUUUUUCAUUUUUGCAAGCUCGAGUAUAUUUUCCGUUAGCAUUUUUUGCAACCUGUUAACUAAUAAGAGGCCCGAGCUUGCCAAGCAUGUAAAUAAAUUAGGACUUUUUCUCAUUUAUUUUUAGAGACGGAGAAAAAUAGGAGAAUGUAUUCACUUUAGGAUUACCCUUUAAAUAAAAUGAGAUGAGCCUCCCUAAAUAAAAAGCGUAAAAAUUACGGGGCCCUCAAUGGUGUUUUAUAAAAAAUACUUAGAAUUUGGGAGAGUUGGUUAGUGAAUUUCACGGUCUUCCCCAAAAUAAUAUUAAAUUAGAAUCUUUAGGCACGAUUUAGUUAAAUUACUUUCCUAAACUCAUGGUCACGUUUAUGUGACCCAAAUCCAAAUCUCAACGGAGUCGAAAUGUGUCGACGACCACGGGUACAUUGAUUUUGAUGUGGUUCGAGAUACCUUUUCACAACGUUGCAAUUCUCUGUAAUAAUAAUAAUAAUAAUAAUAAUAAUAAUAAUAAUAAUAAUAAUAAUAAUAAUAGCGGUAAAGAGUUAAAACUUGCAUAUAAGUACAUAAUUGUAAAAAUCAGAUAAAUAAGCUAAAUAUGACAAUUGAGCGACCGUGCUAGAAUCACGGAACUCGAAAAUCCCUAACAUCUUCUCUCGGGUUAACAGAAUUCCUUAUCCGAAUUUCUGGUGCGCAGACUCUAAUAUAUAGUCAUUCUAUUCCUCGAUUCGGGAUUCAACCGGUGACUUGGGACACCAUAAAUCUCCCUUGUGGCGGCUCUAAAUCAUAAUUAUAAAUCUCGUUUCGAUUAUCCUUUAAUUGGAAAAACUCUCUUAAUCCCUUGUGCCUCGCGGUGCCGGUAAAAAAGAGGUGUGACACUUCCAAGUUAAUCAUUUUCCGCAAGGUUUUAUAAUUGACAAGGCCCAAACGUUCAUGCCAUAAAUUAUUUGACUCUAGUAAGUAAGACGAAGCUGAAGAUUUAUAAUUAUUUUCAAUAAUCAUUACAUUCAGCUUGAAAAGGCCCUCGGUAAGGUAACCUUUUCCUAAAAACAUAUCAUUCUUACUUAUUACAACCUUGUCAGACACAAAAACGCACUUAAAACCGUGCUUUACAAGAAGUCCAACAGAGACUAAAUUCUUCCUAAUCUCGGGAACAUGAAGGACGUUGUUCAAAGUUACUAUUUUCUCGGAAGUCAUAUUCAGAAAUAUCUUCCCACAUCCUUCAAUCUUGGCUGUUGCAGCAUUUCCCAAAGAAAGUGUCUCGUCAGGUCCAUCAGAAGCAUAUGUAGAAAAUGCUUCUUUCACAUCACAAACAUAGCGGGUGGCUCCAGAAUCAAUCCACCAUUCCUUAGGGUUGCCACCAAGUUGCAUUCAGAAAGCAUGGCACACAAGUCAUCAACAUCGUCAUGCUUUUCUAUCAUGUUUGCUUGACCCCUUUUCUUGUCAUUCUUUCGAGCACGACACUUCGUAGAUUUGUGUCCGCUUUUCCCAUAGUCGUAGUAGUUUCCAUUGAACCGCUUCUUGCUUGGGUUGUAUUUCGGACCAGAAGCCUUUUUCCUCUUUUUGUUAUCUUCAACAAUAUUUGCUCCCAUUAUUGUUGAAUUCCACGACCUCUUCUCUCAUCAGCUUUAUUGUCCUCUUCGAUUCUCAAUCGAACAAUGAGAUCUCCAAGGGACAUCUCCUUUCGUUUGUGUUUCAAAUAAUUUUUGAUGGCCUCUUCUCUCAACAACUUUAUUGUCCACUUCGAUUCUCAAUCGAACAAUGGGAACUUCAAGGGACAUUUCCUUUCGUUUGUCUUUCAAAUAAUUUUUGAAGUCCUUCCACAAUGGAGGCAACUUCUCAAUUAUUGCUGCUACUUGGAAUGAUUCAUUGAUGACAAGACCUUCAAUGAAAAUUCCAUUAGUAAAUUUACUAAAAAAUUUACUUUCAAUAUCAGUAUUUAUUUGAGACAUACCUUCAGCAAGUAGAUCAUGAAUAAUCACUUGCAAUUCCUGGACUUGGGUAAUAACAGACUUGCUAUUUACCAUUUUGUAGUCCAAAAAUUUUGCGGCGACGAAAUUCUUCAUCCAGUAUCUUCAGUUUUGUACUUCUUUUCAAGCGCAGUCCACAGUUCUUUGGGCGUCUCCACAUUACUGUAGACGUUAUACUAACUAUCCUCCAGAUCUCUAAGAAUAUAAUUCUUGCACAAAAAAUCAAAAUGCUUCCACGCCUCAUUUACGAUAAAGCGUUCAUUCUCUAGAGUUUCAUCCGGCGGAUCAGGAAUAUCAUCCUUGAUGAACUUUUAUAGACAUAACGUAGUCAAAUAAAAGAACAUCUUCUGCUGUCAGUGCUUAAAAUCAAUCCCGAAAAACUUUUCGGAUUUUUCUGUCGGUGCCAACAUCGGUGUUCAACUUGUCGAUGCGUUGGCGGUCAUCAACGGAACAUCUUGGUUUCUGUUCUCAUAUGCUAUUUUUCUGUAAAAGAAUGACACAAACAAACAUUUAGAAAACGUUUUAAAUUUGGAGGAAAAACAAAUUACGUAGAUUUUAAUUUCCAACAAACUGCCACGAAGGCUUUACUCUCCAAAUGGGAGUAUACAAAAACCACAAAGGUUUAGUUUCCAGAAUAAUAAGAAUAACACAAAUACAGAAAUAAAAGUUAUUAAAUUCCUUAAGCUUGUUGGGUCCAUGAUUAUUAUCCUGUAUUUGUAAAUAAUAACUCUGGAAAAAAUAAAAUAUUAGCUUAUAAAAGUAAAUUUAAAUGCGACAGUAAUUAAUUCGAGCCCACUGCAUUCACAGUGUUUCCUUAAGGAAUUUAAUCCCCUCCUAGUACCCAAGGUUAUAGAUUAUUUCCUCUCAGGAUAGAACGAAUUACACACUGGUAUAGCGGUACUUCAAAUCUCAGUGUUUCAACGAACACAAAGUUUGGCAACAAAUCACACUUAUAAAUGCUUUGUUUGUAGUUAAAAACAAUGUCGAAUAAGAAGGACAACUUAGAAGUAGAAUGGAAAUUCUGAGAGGAAGGAAUGCAAAGUAUAGCCGGUGUUGAACUCUUACUGAAGAGAAUGUCAGAUUGCAAUUUGUUUUUCCAGUGUAUACGUAAUGUCUACCGAGUGUAUAUCAAGUAUAUAGAAAAUGUAUAUGCAGUAUAUAUAUAGUGUACAUCAAGUUUAUACGGAGUGUUUAGUGUUUUUUUCGGUGUGUACUUCUUUCCCUCCAACUUCUGCUCUAUUUAUAUCAGUUAUUUGAGAGAAAUCCGCCUCUUCCAUGGCUGAACAAGCACUAGGCUAUCAUGGAGGAAACACUUACAUAGUGGAAUGAACACUUGCUUGGUGGGAGGAGCACUUGCACCAUGGUGGGAGGUGCACUAGGCUGCUUAUUUCUUAGUGUUGCAACACAAUAUGCGGAUUGGAAAACAUCAGUUACAAACACGAAUUGUAUCACGCUAAUAUUCACUAUUAACAAAUAAAUUUGGUUCAAAAGAUUAAUCAAUACAACAACAACUACCCAGUAUAGUCCCACAAAGUGGGGUCUGGGUGCUUAUUGCUUAGUGUUGCAACAAAAUACACGGAUUGGAAAAUAUCCGUUACAAAUACGAAUUAUAUCACGUUAAUAUUCACUAUUAACAAAUAAAAUUUGGUCCAAAAGAUUAAUCAAUCGAUCGAUUAUUUGACCAAAUCUGAAUCCAAAUCCAAAUCUCAUUUCCCAUUCACUCUCAUUUUAUGACUAUUUCAUCUUAAACAAAAACUCAACAAGAUCUACUAUGAGCCUUCAAUCGAGCACGAUACUUAUCUAAUACAUUUGCAAGUAACUUCAAUGGUUUUCGUUAGGAUUACCUCCAUCAGACAAUCUUCUUAUAUCCAUAGGUAAAAUGGAUCCGCUAGCCGCAUCAUUUGGCUACAAAAAAAAUCAAAAGAAAAUAUAAUUAACAAAUUAACUACAACCACCCAGUAAAUUUCCACGAGCGGUCAAGAGUAAAAAUUUGUCAACUUGGAACGAAAGAGCAAAUAGUACAGAUUUCACACUUCAUAAAAUUAAGCUGACAGUCAAGAAACAAAUUAGCCGAUCUAAAAUCAGAAAAUAGCUAAUACUAUCAUCGGACAUUUAAAAGCUUAAUGGAAUGUACUUAACUAGGCAUGCUAUUUAGUCUCUUAGUUUAUUAAGUAUUUGAUAUAAUGGGGUCAGUUACAGACCAUUACAACUGAAUAAUUAGUCGCUAUAGACCAUUACAACUGAAUAAUUAUUCUCUGCUUAUAUAUAUCAGCUUGGAACACACACAUUGUGUACCCCGAACAACCUAUUAUAGCACUAAUGCAGCCUUAAAUCCCAAUACAGAACAAUUAAUGUAUUCAAAAUACACAGAUUCUACAAAUUAAUAGAGUUAAUAAACUUAAAACCCACAUACGAAGAAGAAAGACAAAAAGGCAAAAUCAAAGCAAAAUAGAAGAUGAAUUUGUAUGAAAGAGCAAAAUCAAAAAAACUUACAUCUAAUUGAUUGAUAGAUCUAAAAUUUUCUUUCAUAUCUCUUUCAUUUUGCAACAGAGGAGGCGCUGAAGAAAAGUAGAGAGCCAUUGCAUUUGGAAAUUUUCAACUACACGGCCUUGAAAUAUGAG
rnacentral:lncRNA from 1 species